rnacentral:rRNA from 1 species
GACGAACGCUGGCGGCGUGCUUAACACAUGCAAGUCGAACGGAAAGGCCUGCUUUCCCUUGUGGAUUGCGGGUACUCGAGUGGCGAACGGGUGAGUAACACGUGAGUGAUCUGCCCCCAACUUGGGUAUAAGCCUGGGAAACUGGGUCUAAUUCCCGAUAGGACUGCAGGGUGGUGCCUGUGGUGGAAAACGAUUUUCUAGUGGUUGGGGAUGAGCUCGCGGCCUAUCAGCUUGUUGGUGGGGUAAUGGCCUACCAAGGCGGCGACGGGUAGCCGGCCUGGGAGGGUGGACGGCCACAUUGGGACUGCGAUACGGCCCAGACUCCUACGGGAGGCAGCAGUGGGGAAUAUUGCACGAUGGGCGGAAGCCCGAUGCAGCGACGCGGCGUGGGGGAUGACGGCCUUCGGGUUGUAAACUCCUUUCGACCGCGAGGAAGCCACCUGGUUGGAAGGGUGGUGACGGUAGUGGUAGAAGAAGCACCGGCUAACUACGUG